rnacentral:rRNA from 1 species
UACGGAGGAUCCAAGCGUUAUCCGGAUUUAUUGGGUUUAAAGGGUGCGUAGGCGGAAGAUUAAGUCGGUGGUGAAAUUUUGCAGCUCAACUGUAAAAGUGCCAUUGAUACUGGUUUUCUUGAGUAUGGAUGAAGUAGGCGGAAUUUGUGGUGUAGCGGUGAAAUGCAUAGAUAUCACGAGGAACUCCGAUUGCGCAGGCAGCUUACUAAACCAUAACUGACGCUCAGGCACGAAGGCGUGGGGAUCAAACAGGAUUAGAUACCCGGGUAGU